GACGGAGGAUGCAAGUGUUAUCCGGAAUCACUGGGCGUAAAGCGUCUGUAGGUGGUUUAAUAAGUCAACUGUUAAAUCUUGAGGCUCAACCUCAAAAUCGCAGUCGAAACUAUUAGGCUAGAGUAUAGUAGGGGUAAAGGGGAAUUUCCAGUGGAGCGGUGAAAUGCGUAGAUAUUGGAAAGACCACCGAUGGCGAAGGCACUCUACUGGGCCAUUACUGACACUGAGAGACGAAAGCUAGGGGAGCAAAUGGG
rnacentral:rRNA from 1 species